GCUAACGCCGUGCCAGGAGGGGCGGGAAGACGGGGGGGGGUAGGGUUGUUCGGAAUGACAGGGCGUAAAGCGCGCGUAGGCGGUUCUUUAAGUCAGAGGUGAAAGCCCGGUGCUCAACAUCGGAAUAGCCUUUGAGACUGGGGGACUAGAAGCCGGGAGAGGUGAGUGGAAUUCCGAGUGUAGAGGUGAAAUUCGUAGAUAUUCGGAAGAACACCAGUGGCGAAGGCGGCUCACUGGACCGGCAUUGACGCUGAGGUGCGAAAGCGUGGGGAGCAAACAGGAUUAGAUACCCGAGUAGUC
rnacentral:rRNA from 1 species